CCGUACGACUUAGUAGUUGUUGGUGAGGUAACGGCUCACCAAGUCGACGAUCGUUAACUGGUCUGAGAGGAUGAUCAGUCAGACUGGAACUGAGACACGGUCCAGACUCCUACGGGAGGCAGCAGUAAGGAAUCUUCCACAAUGGGCGAAAGCCUGAUGGAGCAACGCCGCGUGCAGGAUGAAGGCCCUCGGGUCGUAAACUGCUUUUAUGAGUGAAGAAUAUGACGGUAACUCAUGAAUAAGCACCGGCUAACUACGUG
rnacentral:rRNA from 1 species